rnacentral:rRNA from 1 species
CUCAAAUUUGAAAUCUGGCCCUCGGGUCCGAAUUGUAAUUUGUAGAGGAUGAUUUUGGUGCGGUAUCUUCCGAGUUCCUUGGAACAGGACGCCUUAGAGGGUGAGAGCCCCGUACGGUUGAAUGCCUAGCCUCUGUAAAUCUCCUUCGACGAGUCGAGUAGUUUGGGAAUGCUGCUCUAAAUGGGAGGUAAAUUUCUUCUAAAGCUAAAUAUUGGCCAGAGACCGAUAGCGCACAAGUAGAGUGAUCGAAAGAUGAAAAGCACUUUGAAAAGAGGGUUAAAUAGCACGUGAAAUUGUUGAAAGGGAAGGAUUUGUGACCAGACUUUUUCUGGGCGGAUCAUCCGGGGUUCUCUCCGGUGCACUUCGCCCAGUAAAGGCCAGCAUCGGUUUUCGGCGUGGGAUAAAAGCAGUAGGAAUGUGGCUCUCUACGGGGAGUGUUAUAGCCUAUUGUAUAAUACCGCGCUGGGGACCGAGGUUCGCGCUUCUGCAAGGAUGCUGGCGUAAUGGUUAUCAAUCACCCGUCUUGAAACACGGACCAAGGAGUCGAACAUUUGUGCGAGUGUUUGGGUGUUAAACCCUCACGCGUAAUGAAAGUGAACGGAGGUGAGAGCCCUUACGGGUGCAUCAUCGACCGAUCCUGAAGUUUUCGGAUGGAUUUGAGUAAGAGGAUAACUGUUCGGACCCGAAAGAUGGUGAACUAUGCGUGGAUAGGGUGAAGCCAGAGGAAACUCUGGUGGAGGCUCGCAGCGGUUCUGACGUGCAAAUCGAUCGUCAAAUCUGCGCAUGGGGG